GGUAGUAUAAUUGGUCCAGUAUCCCCGCCUGUCACGCGGGAGACCGGGGUUGUUCGAUUCCCCGGAGGUAUU